UGUCACUUGUAUUGAUAAGUGCUCCAUUAAUAAGUUGGCACCGGGAUCUGAUGUUAAUCUCACUUCAUUCUCUGUUGUACACUUGACCCAGCAACAUCGCAGCAACGUAGCAUCAUAUCUGUAAAAGAAACUAUGAAGGAAGCAACUGUUCUGUUACAUAUUGUCACAUUGAUGGCAUGUCUGUAUAUCAACGCUAGCACUUUCGUCGUCAACAACAACGACAACAACAGCAAAAGCAGCAACGAUAACAACAUUAAUUACGAUGUCAACAACGACACCAAAAUAGGGACGUCAGAAUCUUCAGUUGUUUCAUCCAAGCCCUGUACCCUGAAUUCGUCGCAUUGUAGAAGCGGUGAAACGUGUGUAAUAUAUAACCGCAGUUUACAGUGCCGUAAGUUAACUGCCAGAGAACAGUACUUUUGUUACCGAUGUAAGAACAGCUUAUGUGACUUUGACGGGGACGGAUAUAUGACAUGUCACUGCAAACCACAUUGGACGGGACAAUGAAAUAAGUACCAGUCGAACACUGAGGUUGAUAUAAUAGACAUAAACACCCAACUGAAAUUCCAGGCUUUGUGCCAAAAUUUGCAACCAUAACUAUGCUUGAGGAAUUGCACAAUUGGUAAAUGAAAGGAGACAAAGAAUAUUGCGAAUGCCCCGACAAUUUUACGCCUACAUCGAACUGCACAAAACAAUACAACGAUUUUCCUUCGAGGCUAUGCUAGAGCAACGCUUUGAAGGGUUUAGGCAAACAAAUCGAUCACAGUAAAGUCUAGAACUUACUCAGUCGUUAACUUUGGCUAACGGUUAAAUUACAGGAAUAUAAACAAACCAACACCCGUUGUCAAGCAAAGGUGGGGGACAAACACAAAGACCCACACACAUAUAUACCGGCAUAUCUCAACAUAAGUUGUUUCGAGGAACAUCGUUUUUAUAAAGAAUUUCUUCGUAAAAUCAUCAUCCUAUGGUGAUUUAUCCGACUUAACGUUUUGUCUCAAGGAACAUACAUAAAAGCAUAGAAUUUGCCAUAGAAGAAAAAAACAUGCAAAUCAAUGCUUCAAUGGAAAAUCAAAUAAAGUGCAUGUGAAAAUAUAAAUAAACAAUUAUAUAUAUAUA